AUUCUCCACGUCAAAGUUUUCAUGUGGUUUGAGGAGCAGGAAUAUAGCAGAGCUUUCCUGCCACUGGGUGAACUGGAAAUGUAGAGGCAAAGAAAAACAACCUGAAGGAAUGUUCCAGGACUGAUGAGGAAGUACAAAUAUACAGGACUCCCAGGAACCUUGAUAUCUAACCUAGUGAGGAAGGACUGAAUUGUUUUCAGCUACGGAUCUUUCAAGGCUCCAUCAAAAAAA